GAUGAAGAACGUAGCGAAAUGCGAUAAGUAGUGUGAAUUGCAGAAUUCAGUGAAUCAUCGAAUCUUUGAACGCACAUUGCGCCCUCUGGUAUUCCGGGGGGCAUGCCUGUUCGAGCGUCAUUAUAACCACUCAAGCUCUCGCUUGGUAUUGGGGCUCGCGGUUCCGCGGCCCCUAAAAUCAGUGGCGGUGCCUGUCGGCUCUACGCGUAGUAAUACUCCUCGCGAUUGAGUCCGGUAGGUCUACUUGCCAGCAACCCCCAAUUUUUACAGGUUGACCUCGGAUCAGGUAGGGAUACCCGCUGAACUUAAGCAUAUCAAUAAGCGGAGGA
rnacentral:misc_RNA from 1 species